GUCUUGCUUUAAAGAUUUGUUAGACAGGGCCAGAAAAAUGUAGUCUAGAGAUAAUUAUUUCCCACUGUGAAGGGAAGACCCUUCUGAAUAAUCUACUCAGUAUCCUGUGAAUUGUGAAGAUUUCCAGUCUGGCUGGUAGAAGCAGGCAUUACUAUCAGCCUGGUGUGAGUGCAGAAACGAGUAAUGUGAGAGCCUGCAAUUGUAAUCUUCAUAAAGUAUAUCACAUACCGUUCAAAAACAUCAAGUGGCAUGUUAAAUAAGCUUUUGGAGAAUAAGUUGAGCGUGACACCACAAGAAGAAAAACAGAAUCCAUGACUUCUCAAAACAUGAUCUUGCUUCAGAUGAGAAAGCUCUGUGCUUAGUUUGCUGUGUGCCAAAAGGAUUUAUCAAGAAGGGGAUGACGGAGGUUGCUCUUCCAAAAGCGUCCAGAGUCACUGAGACCUGACCUGUG